rnacentral:rRNA from 1 species
GGCAGCACGAUGUAGCAAUACAUUGGUGGCGACCGGCGCACGGGUGAGUAACGCGUAUGCAACCUACCUAUCAGAGGGGAAUAACCCGGCGAAAGUCGGACUAAUACCGCAUAAAACAGGGGUUCCACAUGGAAAUAUUUGUUAAAGAAUUAUCGCUGAUAGAUGGGCAUGCGUUCCAUUAGAUAGUUGGUGAGGUAACGGCUCACCAAGUCCACGAUGGAUAGGGGUUCUGAGAGGAAGGUCCCCCACACUGGUACUGAGACACGGACCAGACUCCUACGGGAGGCAGCAGUGAGGAAUAUUGGUCAAUGGGCGAGAGCCUGAACCAGCCAAGUCGCGUGAAGGAUGAAGGAUCUAUGGUCUGUAAACUUCUUUUAUAUGGGAAUAAAGUGAGGAACGUGUUCCUUUUUGUAUGUACCAUAUGAAUAAGCAUCGGCUAACUCCGUGCCAGCAGCCGCGGUAAUACGGAGGAUGCGAGCGUUAUCCGGAUUUAUUGGGUUUAAAGGGUGCGUAGGUGGUUAAUUAAGUCAGCGGUGAAAGUUUGUGGCUCAACCAUAAAAUUGCCGUUGAAACUGGUUGACUUGAGUAUAUUUGAGGUAGGCGGAAUGCGUGGUGUAGCGGUGAAAUGCAUAGAUAUCACGCAGAACUCCGAUUGCGAAGGCAGCUUACUAAACUAUAACUGACACUGAAGCACGAAAGCGUGGGGAUCAAACAGGAUUAGAUACCCUGGUAGUCCACGCAGUAAACGAUGAUUACUAGCUGUUUGCGAUACACAGUAAGCGGCACAGCGAAAGCG